AGUCCUUCACGGUAACUGUGGACCUGCUGUCAACGCAUGCGCAUAAAUACUUCCGCAGGGCAAAUUUCAUUUUACGGAAAACGCUGCUUUCGUUUUGAUCAACUCAUAGAUCUUGCAAUAGUACGUUGUUGCAGUGUGUACAGGUGUUCUAAUCGAGACGAUGCGAGAGGAAAAGAGAAGGGGAGACGUUUUUUAAGAUUUCCUAAAGAUGCACAUAAACGUUGAAAUUGGUUGAGGCACUGAAUCUGGAUGGAUUUGUACCCAUGCUGAAUGAACAUUCCUAUAUAUCUAUGUGUGUUCUGGGCACUUUGUGGUUUGGCACAGUGAUGUCAGAUCCCUAGAAUGAGAAUUAUUUUCCCACCAUGUUCUCAUAAGGAUAUGUCUGUUGAUGCAGAAAUGCAGAACCAAGCAACCAGAAGGAAUAUUCAAAAAGUAGAGCUACCUGGUGCCUAAGUGUGAAAAGACGGUGUACUGGAUAGGUACUUCUGCUACCCCUGGUGAGAGGGCCUGACCUAAAUGUCUGAUGUCAUUGGAGCAUAUAGAUCAGUUUCUAGCCACAUUGGUGAGACGGAAAGUUGGAUUGUAUGUUUAAGAUAUUGCUGAAUGCUUUGGAUUCUCAGUCACACCAACUUUCACCUCACUUUCCAUGAUGUCAUGAGCUUUGUCAGUGAUAUUCCACAUCUGAAACAUAAACAUCCAUGAAUUAUCAAUUUUGUGUGCAUAUGUUUUGCACUUUAAAUGAUUAAAAGUGUUUGUCAUUAAAUAUCAUAUGUUUUUAAUAAAUAAAUUUAAUAAUUA